ensembl:misc_RNA Metazoa_SRP Metazoan signal recognition particle RNA
GCAGAGCAUGGUGCUGUAUGUCUGUAAGCCUAACCACCAGGGAGGCUAAGGCUGGCAGAUCUCUCGUGCUCAAGAGUUCUGAGCUAUAGUGGGCUGUGUCGAUCGCACACCUGCUCUAAGUUUGGCAGUAAUAUGGUAAACCCCAGAAAACCGGGGUCCACCAGGCUGCUCCAAGGAGGGGUGAACAAGCCCAGGUUGAAAACUGAGCAGUUCAAAGCUCCAGGGUCAAUAAGGCUCACAAGUAGACCCUGCACCUCCACCCUGGGCAAGAUGGAGAGACCUAGUCUUAA